rnacentral:rRNA from 1 species
AGAUGCCUACGGGAGGCAGCAGUGGGGAAUAUUGCACAAUGGGGGAAACCCUGAUGCAGCAACGCCGCGUGAGUGAAGAAGUAUUUCGGUAUGUAAAGCUCUAUCAGCAGGGAAGAAAAAAGACGGUACCUGACUAAGAAGCCCCGGCUAACUACGUGCCAGCAGCCGCGGUAAUACGUAGGGGGCAAGCGUUAUCCGGAUUUACUGGGUGUAAAGGGAGCGUAGACGGCUGUGCAAGUCUGAAGUGAAAGCCCAGGGCUCAACCCUGGGACUGCUUUGGAAACUGUG